GACGAACGCUGGCGGCGUGCUUAACACAUGCAAGUCGAACGGAAAGGCCCCAGCUUGCUGGAGUCCUCGAGUGGCGACCGGGUGAGUAACACGUGGGUAAUCUGCCCUGCACUCUGGGAUAAGCCUGGGACACUGGGUCUCAUCCUGGCUAUGAUCUUUCUCCUUAUGGGGUUUCGUGGAAAGUUUUUCGGUGUAGGAUGAGCCCGUGGCCUAUCAGCUUGUUGGUGGGGUGAUGGCCUACCAAGGCGACGACAGGUAGCCGGCCUGAGAGGGUAGUCGGCUACAUUGGGACUGAGAUACGGCCCAGACUCCUACGGGAGGCAGCAGUGGAGAAUAUUACACAAGGGGCUGAAGCCUGAUGCAGCGACGCCGCGUGAGGGAUGACAGCCUUCGGGUUGUAAACCUCUUUCAGCAGAGACGAAGCGUAAAUGACGGUACCUGCAGAAGAAGCACCGGCUAACUAUGUG
rnacentral:rRNA from 1 species